CCAACAAAUCCUCAGCCUAAUCCAUUUGGGAAUGCAUUCUAUGGAGCUGGUUCAGGGCUUAUUAGAGGAGGACUUGGUGCAUAUGGAGAGAAAAUUCUAGGAUCAAGCUCUGAAUAUGUACAAAGCAAUAUAAGUAGAUACUUCUCUGAUCCCCAAUAUUAUUUCCAAGUGAAUGACCAAUAUGUGAGAAACAAAUUGAAGGUUGUUCUAUUUCCAUUCCUGCACAGGGGACACUGGACACGGAUAACUGAGCCAGUAGGGGGCAGACUUUCCUACAAAC
rnacentral:misc_RNA from 1 species